GGCAGUCGCUCAACCAUCUGAGCCACCCAGGCGCCCCCAAACCCGUCUCUCUUAAGAGGUUUUGAUGCCUAAAAUGCAGUCCCGCUGAGUUUGCUUUCUGUGUAGGCACAUAAAUCAUGUGAGCCCCGUGCCAGCUUCACGAAGUUCAUCUACUAACCGUCCCCAGCUCUAAGAUUGUGUUCUGGUGUGUGUCCUGCUCCGUGCUUGGCUGUGACGGGGGUCACUUACUCUGACAUGAAGCGUGAUUCUCUACAAAUGCAGUACCCAUGUUUGUAACACAUCCCUUAAAUGCUACGUGUAAGGCCACUCACUGUCCCUGUUCCCUGAAACUGAAAGUCUAGGAAGGCCCUCAACCCCCCCCCGACCUGCAGGCCAGGCUGGUCGGUGCUCGGGGGUGCUGUGAGGCGCUCACCACACGGUCGGGCUUUGUAGGGACGAUGGCAGUGUUCAGAGAGCCGGGGAGGAGACGUGCUGACGCGGCCCCCAGGGCUCUGGGGCGGGGGGGGAGCUGCGGCAGGAAGGCCUGAGCCCCGCCACGGCUUGCUACCAGCAGGGACCCUCUGCUGCUCAUAAGGGACCCCUCUGCCUGCUCCAUGGCUCAGCGCUCCCCUGCGUCCUUAGCACCCCAGUCGCAGGGUGUCUGACCCAGGGCAGGAGCCUGGCAGGAAGAGCGCGGCCCGGCCCAUCAGACUGAGGGCUGCCUCAGCGUGGGAACGCUGCUAUGGCACGUUACCCGUUUAGUCCACAAGCGUGCUGGGCACAGUGUGCGCCAGAGAACAGAACAGACAAGAGUCUCCAUCGCUGGGGACCCUCGCCUCUUUCAGGGGCGUCGGAUGGUGAUCAAGAUACAGAAGCGAGUGCGGGAGACGGUGGCGGAGCCCAGGAGGGGCUGCUGGCUGACACCUUGCUCUGGGGGGCCUCGGGGGGAAAACCUGGGCAAGAGGAGGAGAGGGCAGGAGCUUGAGCACCAGGCCCUUGGAGGGACGGCUGGAGCCAGGUCACAGUAGGCACUGCAGACUCGAGAUGAGGGGACAGUUGACCUAGGAAGCCGGCCGAGGAUCUCAAGCAAAAGUAAAUCAGCCUGCCGAGGCAUUCACAGGCCCACCAGCCACUGCGUGGGACGACCCCGAAGCAGGCCCCCGGAUCUGGCAAGAUGAGGCGUGGCCUGGGUGUGCUCUAAGUCCAGGCUAGGAUUUGCUGGCAGGCUGAUGGAGGCUGAGUGGGGAGAAGGGGCGAUGUCGGGGGUCUCUCCGAGCGUGUGCCCGGGGCUCUGGCUCCUGAUCUGCAACAGUGCAGGCUGGGGCAGCGGCUCAGCCUGGUCAGGAGAAGCUGGGUCCUGGGACCCCCAAGGAGAGAAGGCUUGAACCCAUGGUCACUCGCACCGAGGGCUGUGAGCCUGGGAACCAGGAAGAGCCUGCCUAGCGUGAGGAGCCAGGAACGGGAGGCGGCUGAGGAGAUGGGGCUCCUGGGGUGCCCCAGGCAUCCGUGGAGAAGGGUGACAGUCACGUGCUGCCCAGAGUCCGUGGGCGCUGAGGAGGGUGAGCCACUGGGAAGCGGCAGCAGGGACAGGAGCCCGUAGUGGGGCUUGUGAGGGGAAGACACACAUUUGGGCGUUCACGGCUCAUAGAGCUCUGUUACUUGUUGGUAGAAGGUCUGAAAACGAAGAACUUAUUUUCGGCAUCAAAAUGCGUCCUGGACAGACUCUCACUGUGCAGCCAUCUGUCCCUGAUCUUUCUGUUUUUGUUCUUAGGGGAAAGAAGGCCCCUCAGUGGAGGCGGAGAGUCAGGACACACAAGGAGGGAAAGCAGCCCCACCGCCGGCUCCAGAGGUCCCAGAUAAUCACUAUUUAGAUAAUUUGUGCAUCUUCUGUGGGGAAAGGAGUGAGUCCUUCACAGAAGAGGGGCUGGACCGUCACUACUGGAAGCGCUGCCCCGUGCUGACGAGGUGCGCCCACUGCAAACAGGUGGUGGAGAUCUCCAGCCUGACGGAGCACUUGCUGACAGAAUGCGACAAGAAAGACGGGUUUGGAAAGUGUUACCGCUGCAGCGAGGCUGUUCUGAAGGAAGAGCUGCCCAGACACAUAAAAACGAAGGAGUGUAACCCUGCCAAACCAGAGAAGCUGGCAAAUCGGUGUCCUCUGUGCCAUGAGAACUUCUCCCCUGGAGAGCAGGCGUGGAAAGCUCACCUCAUGGGCC